CAUGACUCCGCCAGCUGAUCCGGGACGGAGCCGGCGCGCGGCGGGGGGAGGCGGCGGCACCGGCACCGGGCACGGCACCGGCGGGGCGGCGGCGCCGGGCCAGGCCAGGCCGGGCCGAGCCGAGCCGAGCCCUGCCCGCGUCCUGCCCGCCCGAGCCGCGCAGGAUUAGCUGGCUCCCGUCCAGGUGGGACCCUGCCAGCCGGGAUGGAUGCCCAAGGUGCUGCCGUGCCCACCCUGCUCCUGGCUAACCAGCACCAGUUCUUCAGUGGCAAGCUUUAUGUCCUUCUCCAGUAGCUAAAGCUGCCAGUUGAAGAACUGUUGAAUGUAGCCACUCUCUUCUCGUCCCUGGGACCUUGGAUGCCAGCCAGAGCCGUGCCCUGAGCCACCAGGAUGAGCCACUCUGCAGAGUGCUGUGCAUUGGAGGGCUGAGGAUGAGUCUGACCGGGAUGAAGAAAGUCUCCUGGAGGAUUGCAGGCAGCUGUGCCAGAAGGGUUGCCAAACUGUGUCCCCCCCCUCAGUGGGGUGGCACUGAGCUGGGAGGAGACUGAGAGAAGCAUUAAACGUUGUUUUGCUCAA